ACUUUGAUAUGUUUGCAGCAGCUCUGCGAUUCCCCGCCAUUAUGUCAUAGAACGGAAGAGAGGUUCUCAGAAGCGCGCGUAACCGCCCUUUUGAUUUUCCCGGCAAAACCGUCCCGAGUUCUUCGCAUAAGAAUAACUCGUUUUCAUACAGUCUCGUUACAAGCUGUUGAAAUAUUGAAAAUAAAACACUGAUUAAUACAUAAUAAUUCCUACAUAUAGCCCCUUUAAUUGGCAUAUUUUUGCAAUCAUCAGUCCAUUCAUGUCCUGCACAGCUGCCAUGGUCCGUCUCUAGAUAUCACAGUACUGUCUCAUCAUCAUGUGUGUUUUGACCCUUAUCUGUUCAAACGUUCAGCGUAUCUCCUGUCUCGAAUGUGUCGGUUGUGCGAGGUGCCGGUUGCCAUGGUUUCGUUGGUAUUGGCGGAUGCUUUCAGUUAGCUAAUCCUGCUCGAUGCUCUCCAAACCCUGAGAUGAAUGCACUUGAUGCCAGACGCAGCUGGCCCUGCAUUCAGUACUGCACAUUCACGGGCCCAUCGACUCAAUAGAGCAGCUAGUCACGCGCGGACCGGGGUCUUAUAGCCGCGCUGCCUGCUGAGCUCAGCUACCGAAUCUCUGAAACAAAGCAUUGAGGAUUGUCUGGUCACUGGUGAAGACAACAUGAUGAAAAAUGGAUUAGUGUUUCACCGACAUGAUGCUGCUGGUCUCGUCUGGUCCUUCCAUAAAUACAGCCCUAAACCUCCAUAAUCAGACCGGACAUGCUUCAUUUACUGAUUAUGUACUAAAGUUUAACAAGGGGGAGAGAGAUAUUUAUGACCUGAAUGUUUAAAACUAGGCUUGAUGUUGGUGAAGGAGGUCAUUUUAAACCAUAAUGUAAUAUUCACCGAUUCACUGUAACAUUAUCUGGCAUUUAGCUGGCCAUGUGAAGCAUUUUGCUUCCGUAAUAUGACGCAUUUCUGAGUGAAUAAGGACAUUCAAUGAGAAAAAAAAUGUCGGGAGAAACUUGAUUUUAUCUAUUUGGUUGCAUUGUAAAAUGUCUAUAAAUAGCUAUUUGGCUGUAGGUUUUGGCUGGGAUUCAUGUCAGAUGAAAAGUAUAUAUUUGUCUGUACAUAUAUUGCAUCAUUUUUGUCUUCAUACAUAUACAGUAUGAUACUUAGGCGUAGUAUAUAUGAUAUGACGAAUUAAAAAUGUUAUAUAUGAGUAUUUCUUAAUUGACAUUUGUCUAUUGUUCAAAUCUAUUUCACAUUUAUUUUAAUUUGGUUUGUUUAAAAGGAUUAACUUGCAGUAAGUGAUUUCUGAGAAACUCUGUUGAUAUUUGAAAUCACCAAAACAGACACGCCCCUAUCUUUAUAGCUCCGCCCCCAAAUCCACAAACACUCUAUGCAACACAGGCACCUCCCCCAAUGAGUGUAUAUGCCCCUUACUGCUGAUUGGCUACAUGUGUGUUUUGAAGCUCGGGUCGGAUCCACUUUUUUAACAGCUUUUCUCAGAAAUUGC